AAUAGAUACCCGGGUAGUCCACGCCGUAAACGAUGUGUGCUAGAAGUCGGGAUAACUCGGUUUCGAAGCUAACGCAUUAAGCACACCGCCUGGGGAGUACGGUCGCAAGGCUGAAACUCAAAAGAAUUGACGGGGACCCGCACAAGUGGUGGAGCAUGUGGUUUAAUUCGAUGCAACGCGAUGAACCUUACCAAGACUUGACAUACUCGGCAAAACUAUAGAGAUAUAGUGGAGGUUAUCCGAUGUACAGGUGGUGCAUGGUUGUCGUCAGCUCGUGUCGUGAGAUGUUGGGUUAAGUCCCGCAACGAGCGCAACCCCUAUCUUUAUUUGCUAACAUUAAGUUGAGGACUAUAGAGAGACUGCCUACGCAAGUAGGAGGAAGGUGGGGAUGACGUCAAAUCAUCAUGCCCCUUAUGUCUUGGGCUACACACGUGCUACAAUGGCCGGUACAAAGGGCUGCAAACUGGUGACAGUAAGCGAAUCCCAUAAAGCCGGUCUAAGUUCGGAUUGAAGUCUGCAACUCGACUUC
rnacentral:rRNA from 1 species